AGAAAGUUGUGUUCUUUGAAUGCGACGUCAUUCGGAAUGGUCUUCUUUUUUCAGGACGUCACAAUAGGAAAUCAAUAAGAAAUCAUAAACAUUUAACGUUAUUAUUAAAAUUCAACCAAUGAUUUGCUGGGAACAGAUAUGUAACUACUAUAGCUAGAAAUGUAAUAAUGACGUUUAAUUUUCUUGAUUUCGUUUGAAUUUGUUUGAAUUAUGUCAGAC
rnacentral:lncRNA from 1 species